rnacentral:antisense_RNA from 1 species
AGUCAUCUGGCAGCAGCUCAAGAAGCAUGUCCUCCACGCCGUCAAUCUGAGAGGCAGAGAGAGAGAGAAGGCAUUGAUCGGCCAGAGCCCUCCACUCCCUCCAUUCCUCACUCCUGCGCCUUCCCCUAGCUGGAAACAGCAGGUAGGAACCCAGGUGUGAGGAUUUCAGGGGCUCUUGGAGACUGCCCCUCCUCCCACCAGCCUUCAGCCUGUGACUGCCCACCACAGAUGUCUUCCUGCGGCUAGCUGGUGGCUGGGAGGUAGUGGAGGCUGGAAUGCAAUGGUGUGAUCUUGGCUCACUGCGACCUCCACCUCCUGGGUUCAAGCGAUUCUCCUGCUUCUGCCUCCCGAGUAGCUGGGAUUACAGACAAAGAAUUCAAGACUAAGCUGGGCAUGGUGGCACGCACCUGUAGUCUCAGCUACUUGGGAGGCUGAGGCAGGAGAAUCACAUGAACCUGGCAGGCUGAGGUUGCAGUGAGCCGAGAUUGCGCCACUGCACUCCAGCCUGGCCACAGAGCAAGACUCCAUCUCAAAAAAAAAAAAAAAAAGAAGAAGUCAAGACUAAGAAGAGUGAAGUAUGAAGUAAUUCACCCACAGACACCCAGCUAGUGAGUGGCAGACCUGGAAGACAAACUAGUUCUGUUUGGCAUCAGAAUCUAUGCUGUCAGCCAUCUCACCACAUUCAUG